rnacentral:rRNA from 1 species
GACGAACGCUGGCGGCGUGCCUAAUACAUGCAAGUCGAACGCUUCUUUUUCCACCGGAGCUUGCUCCACCGGAAAAAGAGGAGUGGCGAACGGGUGAGUAACACGUGGGUAACCUGCCCAUCAGAAGGGGAUAACACUUGGAAACAGGUGCUAAUACCGUAUAACAAUCGCAACCGCAUGGUCUUGAUUUGAAAGGCGCUUUCGCGUGUCGCUGAUGACUGGACGCGCGGUGCAUUAGUUAGUUGGUGAGGUAACGGCUCACCAAGGGCACGAUGCAUGGCCGACCUGAGAGGGUGAUCGUCCACAUUGGGACUGAGACACGGCCCAAACUGCUACGGGAGGCAGCAGUAGGGAAUAUUCGGAAAUGGACGAAAGUCUGACCGAGCAACGCCGCGUGAGUGAAGAAGGUUUUCGGGUCGUAAAACUCUGUUAUAAGAGAAGAACAAAUUGUAGAGUAACUGCUACAGUCUUGACGGUAUCUUAUCAGAAAGCCACGGCUAACCACGUGCCAGCAGCCGCCGUAA